GCAGAGAAUCUAGGCCACUGUGACUUGGUCUUCCCCUCUCUGGGAUAUCACAAAGGCCAUAUGAGGUCAGUGAACCAAUCUACAAGAGAAGGGCUGAGCAGGGGACCUGAGAUGAUUUUCUCCAAUAUUUAGUCAGACUGAUUUUCUGGAUCCAAGUUUCUCAACUUACCAAAUGUGGGCAAAUCAUUAUAUUGCUCCCAGCCUUAAAAAUCUUCAAUAAGUUAAAGAGAGGACUCAGGCUUAAUGGCAAUCCUGUUAUCUUACCAAUGAGGAGACUAAACACCUAGUUGGAGAUCACCUCCUUACUGGCUCAGAGCUUCAGGAAAUAGCUCAAGGAUGUGCAAAUACUAAACAGUAGAGCUGGGAUUUAGAUCCACAUCUACUUAAUUUUAGUGCGUAUGCUCUAACUGCUGCCACAGAAGGGAUGCAGAGGAAGACGGUCAGUUACCCAGAGGGUGAUAUCUUUGACUUAAUGUUCACCAUAAAGACAGCUAUCAACAAAAGACUUGAAUUCUAACUUGUUAUCUAUUGCAGGAAAGUGCCUGCAAUAUGCCAUUGUGACAAGGCACCAUCAAUCAUCAUGUCCCUUUACCAGGAGGGCCCGUGUCAUAAGCCACUAUAUAAAGGGAAUGAUGGGUGGACUGCUUUGGACAAAUGGACCUGCGGUAGGAGAGAGGGACAACAGUAGGAGCAGGCAGAUCUUGCUGUUUCAACCAAAACCUCAUGCUGACCAGAGUUGAGGAACAGAAGAAGAUGGUGAAGGCCUGCAGGUAUAGGUGUUCAGCAUGUCAUCUGAAAUAUUCCCCACAGAGGCAAAAAGAAAGGAAAUUAUCUCUGAAAAGGAAUGGGAGGACAAGUCAGCAGAAUAUGUCAAUGUUUUGGUUGAAGAAGCUGCUUGAAUCUGGGCUUUUCUGUGCCAUGUGUUCUCCCAGGGCCAGCACAAAGAAGGGCUUUUGGUGCAGGCCCAAGACCACCAUAAUCAUCAUUGAUUAUUCCUCUCCACGCCAGUGUCUCUAAAUAAACUUUCUCUUCUUUCUCUGACAAAGGUGUUUUUGAGUGUUACUGUUUAGCUGAAGAGUGACGUUGAGUGACCUUAGUACCCUAGCCCUUCAUGUAAUCAGAUGGGUGUUGUAAGCAGAGGGAGAACCAUAAAUGAAGAUGCUUGUUUUCCUAGAAACAAGCCCAGGUCAUCCAUCAUGAAGUCCAGGAAUUGUAAAUGUGAGGAAGUGCAAAGACACAACGUACACUUACAAAGGCAUAUGUGCAUUUGGAAUUCUUUAAAGGACAACAUCCUCGAGCUUCUCCUGGGCCUCAGCCAAAACGGAGACACAAAAUGCAUCAUGCUAACAUUGUUGUAUGUAUGUGUAUGACUACAUAAUAUUCUAUCAUUUUGUUU
rnacentral:lncRNA from 1 species